CCUACGGGAGGCUGCAGUAGGGAAUAUUGCUCAAUGGGGGAAACCCUGAAGCAGCAACGCCGCGUGGAGGAUGAAGGUUUUCGGAUUGUAAACUCCUUUUGUUAGAGAAGAUAAUGACGGUAUCUAACGAAUAAGCACCGGCUAACUCCGUGCCAGCAGCCGCGGUAAUACGGCGGGUGCAAGCGUUACUCGGAAUCACUGGGCGUAAAGGGCGCGUAGGCGGGAUAGCAAGUCAGAUGUGAAAUCCUAUGGCUUAACCAUAGAACUGCAUUUGAAACUGUUAUUCUAGAGUAUGGGAGAGGUAGGUGGAAUGCUUGGUGUAGGGGUAAAAUCCGUAGAGAUCAAGAGGAAUACUCAUUGCGAAGGCGACCUGCUAGAACAUAACUGACGCUGAUGCGCGAAAGCGUGGGGAGCAAACAGGAUUAGAUACCCGAGUAGUC
rnacentral:rRNA from 1 species